AUUGAACGCUGGCGGCAGGCCUAACACAUGCAAGUCGAACGAGGGGCGGACGGGCGAGUAAUGUCUGGGAAACUGCUUGAUGGAGGGGGAUAACUACUGGAAACGGUAGCUAAUACCGCAUACCAUCAGAUGUGCCAAGAUGGGAUUAGCUAGGUGGUGGAGUAACGGCUCACCAAGGCGACGAUCCCUAGCUGGUCUGAGAGGAUGACCAGCCGCACUGGUGGUCAGACACGGUCCAUGCUCCUACGGGAGGCAGCAGUGGGGGAUAUUGCACAAAGGGCGGUGGCCUGAUGCAGCCAUGCCGCUUGUAUGAAGAGGGCCUUCGGGUUGUGGAGUACGUUCGGCAGGACGGCGUUACCGGCAAAAGAAGCACCGGCUAACUCCGUGCCAGCAGCCGCGGUAAUUC
rnacentral:rRNA from 1 species